rnacentral:lncRNA from 1 species
CACUGUGCUGGGAGCCAUUAGCCAAGUAGGUGUGACAAUUUCCUUGCCAGCGUACCCCAUGUUGCUGACAUGUUGCAGUGACAUUGAAUGUAGGUGACCUUGCUCAAGGACCAAGGCAGAUUAGGGUGUUCCCGGUUUUAAGAUAAUCGUGUUUAGGGCGUUCCCAGUUUAGGUUCCAGGUUUAAGGUUUAAGAUUAUUCCUGCUGGGAAUAGGGCGUAUCCUGCUGCCUGAGUUCCCCUUGAGUUCUCAAGGGAUUCAGACAGUAUAUUUUGGAGAUAGAAGCCCAGUGGAGGUGGAUUUGGGCAGAGAACGUGGAUUUCCCCAGAACGUGAUUGUAGACGGCUGGUGUGAGUUCGGGAAUAAAGAGUUGCUGUUUGAAUCUACAAGCUGUGUGGUGGCUCGUGAUUGUGUGCCCAGCCAGACUGCGGCAUUUGUGCCCAGCCAGACUGCGGCAGGUUCUUAUCCAGAUAAUUUUCUUGUAUCAGGUUUCAUUACUUAAGAAAACUAAUUCUUAAAGGAAUUAAGGUUUGUACCUAUUUUA